AUUGAACGCUGGCGGCAUGCUUUACACAUGCAAGUCGAACGGUAACAGGCCGCAAGGUGCUGACGAGUGGCGAACGGGUGAGUAAUGCAUCGGAACGUGCCCAGUCGUGGGGGAUAACGCAGCGAAAGCUGCGCUAAUACCGCAUACGAUCUGUGGAUGAAAGCGGGGGACCGUAAGGCCUCGCGCGAUUGGAGCGGCCGCUGUCAGAUUAGGUAGUUGGUGGGGUAAAGGCUCACCAAGCCGACGAUCUGUAGCUGGUCUGAGAGGACGACCAGCCACACUGGGACUGAGACACGGCCCAGACUCCUACGGGAGGCAGCAGUGGGGAAUUUUGGACAAUGGGCGCAAGCCUGAUCCAGCAAUGCCGCGUGCAGGAAGGAGGCCUUCGGGUUGUAAACUGCUUUUGUACGGAACGAAAAGGCUCUGGUUAAUUCCUGGGGCUCAUGACGGUACCGUAAGAAUAAGCACCGGCUAACUACGUGCCAGCCGCCGCCGUAACAC
rnacentral:rRNA from 1 species